rnacentral:lncRNA from 1 species
UGGGUGAGAAUAAAAUAAAGACGCACGGCUUUCAUUGUAAAAAGAAAAUAAAAGUGAAGCACACCUCCACGUGUGAGAGCAUUUAUGUUUUAGAAGAAUUUGGUGUGCUGGCUAAGAAAAAAACAUAGCAAACGGCCCAGAGAAAGAGCAACACGUAGUUGCAACCCACGGUGCAGCGAGUUCUUCACGGAUUGGGCACCAGUUUAGCAUCAGCAGCCACUUACAACCGAGACACACUGCUUGAAGAGGUGCACAAAGAGAAGCCCACGGUCUUGGAACCAUUCUUCAUUCAGUAAGUUCUUUACCUUGGUCCAGCCUUCAUCCAUCCGAGAAGAGCAGCUUGGGCUUCACGGUCACGUCCAGCAUGGCAGUAGCACCAUGUUGGCUGGAAGCUGAAACUCACGGCCCAUGGAGAAUUAACAUGCUUCUAGCAGUCUUGGAUGCAGCCCACAUUGAAUCACGGUGCAACUUGGAGCAACAAGAUCCAGCUCCACAUCUUCACAUUCCAGUGUUCAUGGUGUAGGCAUAAAAAGUCCCUCCAGCAACUGGUCCAGCUUUGAAGAAGUCUACAGCACAUUCACGGCCCAACGGAAGCAUCACACGGAAGUCUGUAAAGAAGGUCCAGCUUGGAGAAUAAAAAAGAGGCAGCAAACGGUGCAGCCAACAUCAAAGCACGUCCAACUUCUUCAUCCACGGUGUAGCAAGCAUAGGAGGUGCGUGUAGCAUGUCCACGUCCAGCAAAAGCACACAGCCUUGUGAAUCUUCCUGGCCCACGUUGGCAGCAGAUUUGGAGGUGCUUCACAGCAAUAUCUUCACGCGUUUAGCAGCCUUCUUCAUGGCCCAUCAAAUAUCCAACAUUCACACGGUUCAGUUGCCACCCGAGUAAAGAAGAAGCAGUUGCCAUACC